GGGCCCGUAGCUCAGCGGUAGAGCGGCCGGCUCAUAACCGGUUGGUCCCUGGUUCGAAUCCGGGCGGGCCCACCA
rnacentral:tRNA from 1 species